GACGAACGCUGGCGGCGUGCUUAACACAUGCAAGUCGAACGGAAAGGCCCUGCUUUUGUGGGGUGCUCGAGUGGCGAACGGGUGAGUAACACGUGAGUAACCUGCCCUUGACUUUGGGAUAACUUCAGGAAACUGGGGCUAAUACCGGAUAGGAGCUCCUGCUGCAUGUUGUGGUUUGGAAUUUUUCGGCGGUUGGGUAUGGACUCGCGGCUUAUCAGCUUGUUGGUGGGGUAGUGGUUUACCAAGGCUUUGACGGGUAGCAGGCGUGAGAGGGUGACCGGCGACAUUGGGACUGAGAUACGGCCGAGAAGACUACGGGAGGAAGCAGUGGGGAAUAAUGCAGAAUGGGCGGAAGAAGGAUGCAGCAACGACGCGUGCGGGAUGACGGCCGUCGGGUUGUAAACCGCUUUCGCCUGUGAAGAAGAGUGAGUGACGGUAAUGGGUAAAGAAGCACCGGCUAACUACGUG
rnacentral:rRNA from 1 species